GGCCUUGCGAACGGGGCCAGUGCGAGAUAUCAAAGGCUGUUGUAGCACUCCUUCUCGCGGGAAGGUCUGAGGCGUCGCGCCGUCCUCCGCAAGGGAGGUGCCUCGAGAGAAGGCAGAGGGUAACAGAGAGAGCUUCGUCGUGGCCGCUUGCCUGUGGAGGUCCCUCGGGGCCGAGGGUGAGUCGCGGCGAAAUGAGAUUGAGCCCUCAGCGAGCGCGUGUAGCGAGAUUGGCAUUGGUACUCAAUUCAGACUACGCUCGCAGGCC
rfam:Echinococcus multilocularis genomic scaffold, pathogen_EmW_scaffold_01